UGGGGAAUUUUGGACAAUGGGCGCAAGCCUGAUCCAGCCAUGCCGCGUGCGGGAAGAAGGCCUUCGGUUGUAAACCGCUUUUGUCAGGGAAGAAAUCUUCUGAGUUAAUACCUCGGGAGGAUGACGGUACCUGAAGAAUAAGCACCGGCUAACUACGUGCCAGCAGCCGCGGUAAUACGUAGGGUGCAAGCGUUAAUCGGAAUUACUGGGCGUAAAGCGUGCGCAGGCGGUUUUGUAAGACAGAGGUGAAAUCCCCGGGCUCAACCUGGGAACUGCCUUUGUGACUGCAAGGCUUGAGUGCGGCAGAGGGGGGAUGGAAUUCCGCGUGUAGCAGUGAAAUGCGUAGAUAUGCGGAGGAACACCGAUGGCGAAGGCAAUCCCCUGGGCCUGCACUGACGCUCAUGCACGAAAGCGUGGGGAGCAAACAGGAUUAGAUAGCCCUGGUAGUCCACGCCCUAAAACGAUGUCAACUGGUUGUUGGGAAGGUUCCUUCUCAGUAACGUAGCUAACGCGUG
rnacentral:rRNA from 1 species